rnacentral:rRNA from 1 species
CUGCUGCCUCCCGUAGGAGUUUGGGCCGUGUCUCAGUCCCAAUGUGGCCGAUCACCCUCUCAGGUCGGCUACUGAUCGUCGCCUUGGUGAGCCGUUACCUCACCAACCAGCUAAUCAGACGCGGGUCCAUCUUACACCGAUAGAAUCUUUUCCGUCAGGGUCAUGCGACCCCAGCGGGUUAUGCGGUAUUAGCAGCCAUUUCUAACUGUUAUCCCCCUGUGUAAGGCAGGUUCCCCACGCGUUACUCACCCGUCCGCCG